rnacentral:rRNA from 1 species
CCUACGGGGCGCAGUAGUGGGGAAUAUUGGACAAUAGGGGGAACCCUGAUCCAGCGACGCCGCGUGAGUGAAGAAGUAUUUCGGUAUGUAAAGCUCUAUCAGCAGGGAAGAAAGAAAUGACGGUACCUGACUAAGAAGCCCCGGCUAACUACGUGCCAGCAGCCGCGGUAAUACGUAUGGAGCAAGCGUUAUCCGGAUUUACUGGGUGUAAAGGGAGCGCAGACGGCAGGGCAAGUCUGAUGUGCAAGUCCGGGGCUCAACCCCGGGACUGCAUUGGAAACUGUCCGGCUAGAGUGCAGG